UACAGAGGUGGCAAGCGUUGUUCGGAAUUACUGGGCGUAAAGGGCGCGUAGGCGGCCAUCUAAGUCAGACGUGAAAUCCCCCGGCUCAACCUGGGAACUGCGUCUGAUACUGGACGGCUUGAGUUUGGGAGAGGGAUGUAGAAUUCCAGGUGUAGCGGUGAAAUGCGCAGAGAUCGGGAGGAACACCCGUAGCGAAGGCGGCACUCUGGGCCGGUACUGACGCUGAGGAGCGAAAGCGUGGGGAGCGAACAGG
rnacentral:rRNA from 1 species